rnacentral:lncRNA from 1 species
UCUUACCCAUCCUUCAGAAAUACUUUUCUUAAUUAUUUGGGUUAGUCCGGCAGGGGGAAGAGAAAGGAAUGAAAUAGGCAACAGGAAAGACUUCUCUGAAAUUGGUGCCAGAGUCUUCCCCAGACAAACUAAAGCUGGAUGGUAAGAGGCAUUCCUGGGAAGUUUUGUUCUUUCUACCCGAAGAAGCUCCACAACCUGCAGUAAGAUGGUGUCCACAGAACUGGGUGGAGUCAUUAAGAUUUUUCUACCCCUCUCCCACUGCCACCCACAUGCUAGCGCUAGCUCCUUUGUGGACCUAAGGGGAGAGCUAAGCUUUGGGCUUGAAAAUGUUGAAAACCGCUGUCUAGAAGCCACCUACAACGUUCAACCACCAGCUUGCCACUAGCAAUAGUAGAGAAAGCGGAAAGGAGGCAGACGUGGUUGCUGCCCGCUUGGAAAUUAUGGUACUAACAAGACUUCAAGUGAGGUACAACUCAUUUACAAAGACCAAAACUUUUUAAUACUGAAAAGAAGGCUUCAUAUUUUACAAGCAGGAAGCCUGUCAAGCAACUUGCUCUCGGCAGGAAAGCAGAUCAUGUAUCUUGAGCUUAUCUACCUCCUUUAGGCGGCAUCUAGCCCUGAUCAUCCUCGGAUAUGCACACAGAGCUCUGGAAGACCCACUCUGUACUCUCUGAGCUGGGGCCGCCUCGCCCAAGGCAUCUGAAGAGUUCUCGGUUCCCCAGCCUGUUGUUUAGGGAGCUCGGCUUCUUCCUCUGAAGUGUUGACUUUCUGCUGUCAUUUUCAAACUACCUACUACUGUUUAUUUGAAAUCUAAACAUCUGGGGAGCUUAAAAGACCAAAUUUGUUGAGGGCACAGUCUGCACUCUAACUUUAUACGCAUGAGACACAUGACAAGUAAACAUGUUGAUAGCAGGAUUUACUAAAAUGUAACUUCUGCAAUAUAAUCUGGGGCCAGGAAGAUUUAGUUCAAUCUUCUAUGGCACCAUUUAUGAUGGAAUUUUAGAUCUGGAAGAGACUGAACGAUCACUACCUUAACCCUUUAGUUUUGCAAAGAAGGAGCCCAAUUCAGAGAGAGGGUGACUUUUCCAUGUGAUAUGGCCAGUCAGUGGGAGAGCUGGGAGCAAAAAACAAUCUGGAUUCCUAGCUCCUCUCUAUUCUACUCUGAUACUGCGCCAUUCUGAAAAUGACAACGAUGCAAUGCAAAGUGUUAAAGAAUGUGCUGUACAAUCCGGGAAGAGAAAAGUUAUAGUCAGUGGCAGAAUAUCCUGAAAAUACCUGGCUCACAAGUUCUUUAAAUACCGUCCUUUAAAUGUCUGAAAG